AAGACUAUACUUUCAGGGAUCAUUUCUGUAGUUCAUAACUUGAGAAAUGUGUUUCUAAAGUGUCUGGUCUCGCUAACCACGAUGAAGAGGUAAUGGUACUCUAACCUGAGCGCAAAGCGGAUAUAGAUUGAAAUUUACAUCAUUUGAUCUAUGUCUUUGAUGACCGUUCAAAGCUUCUUCACGGAGCAUUGAGGGGUGGAGUAUGAUCAGAGUGGU